rnacentral:rRNA from 1 species
CGGUGGCGGCUUGCUAUACUGGCAGUCGAGCGAAUGGAUUAAGAGCUUGCUCUUAUGAAGUUAGCGGCGGACGGGUGAGUAACACGUGGGUAACCUGCCCAUAAGACUGGGAUAACUCCGGGAAACCGGGGCUAAUACCGGAUAACAUUUUGAACCGCAUGGUUCGAAAUUGAAAGGCGGCUUCGGCUGUCACUUAUGGAUGGACCCGCGUCGCAUUAGCUAGUUGGUGAGGUAACGGCUCACCAAGGCAACGAUGCGUAGCCGACCUGAGAGGGUGAUCGGCCACACUGGGACUGAGACACGGCCCAGACUCCUACGGGAGGCAGCAGUAGGGAAUCUUCCGCAAUGGACGAAAGUCUGACGGAGCAACGCCGCGUGAGUGAUGAAGGCUUUCGGGUCG